CUAAUCAAAUAACCAUUCAUAUAAAUUCUAUCAAAUAACCGUUCAUAUAAACUCUCUUAACCAAUUUGUUUAAAACAGCCACCAUACCAAAUCUAUGUUUUCUACUGUCAUGUAGGAAACAACAGCUCAUUUCUUACCAUGCUGUUGCUGGGGAUGGCUAAAGUGCUUGGUUCUAUGGGAAGAGCUAGUGAGGCAAUGGAAACAUACCAGCGUGUGAUUACGCUAUUGGAAUCUAGUAGGGGUGGGGAAAAUGAGGAAUUGGCAGUGCCAUUAUUGGCACUGGGCAAUCUUUUAAUGAAGGAAGGAAGAGCACCAGAUGCUGAAAGCCCUUUCGAUAGGUUAAUACUUUUUAUCCUGUAUAGUAUUUGGUUAUUAUGGAUUCUUUGCUUGCUGAUCAUUACCUUUUACAUUCUUACCUUUUGCCUGCAUUAUCCAGAAUCCUAAGCAUUUAUGUGAAUACAUAUGGAGAAAAAGAUGGAAGAGUUGGAUUGGCUAUGUGCUCCCUGGCACAGGUGAAAUGUGCAAAAGGUGAAUUUCUAUGUUACAUUCUUUACACACACACAAACACACACACAUUUCUCUCGAUUCAAAUUUUCAUUUGACGAUUAUAGGUUAGUUGCGUAUUUUGUUGGUAUUUUGUACUGAUCUGGGAACAUGAAAAUAAAAAUUGUCUCUUGUCUGACAUAAAUAAUAUCAAUUUUUCCUGUUUUUGUUCUUUUUGGAGGAUAACUUUGGAGUUACCAUGUCAGAUGAUGGUUUCACUAUGUAUAAUAAUGUAAAUAGAAGAGUAAGUGGCAAAUUUAGGUUCAAUUCAUUGAAUUGUGGCAUAGGAAUUCAUUUUUGAUACCCGAAAGAAAAGGAGAAAAAAGAUGUAUGAUGAACGCCCUAUUUAUUUGCUUCUUUAUUCUUUAAUGUUUUCCCCUUUGGACAGGCCAAAAGAGAGAAUCCAUUAAAAACUAUAAAGCACCCAAGCUAUUGUAGAAUAGUGUAGGCUACAAGAAGUUUCAUACGUGAAAUCUUAGCGUCAUCAUCUUGGCCUCCUUCCUAAUAAUGUCCACCUAAAGUCUUCUACAUUACCGUGUUUUGAUCCUGUGCGGCCUUCUGUAGGAGAAGUGAAUGAAGCCAUUGAUCUAUACAAGAAGGCCAUUCAAAUCCUUGAGGAUUCAAAAUACAUGGAAUUGGAUGACAUUGUAAUGGAACAGAUGAGAGUAGACUUGGCUGAAUUACUUCAUGUAACUGGAAGGUAAGAAAUAUCCCAACUGUUGGGUGUCUCUCAUUGUCUCCUCAUUAUAAUUUUUUAAUAGAUUUCCCUGAGCAUUUUGUGCACUGAGUUUUUUAAGUGUAUAAAUUGUAGGAAGAUGUCUUAAAACCAUUUAGAGUGAGCACUUAAGUUUGUUAUGUCAGAAUGUAGAGGCUAUUAAGAGUAUGAUAUUGGUUGUUGAAUUAGUAUACAUUAAGAUUGUGUUUGAGCCAUCCACCCCAUUUUUUUUUUUUUUUUUGUAAAAAAUGUGUUUUGUGAUAGUAUUUUUUGAGAUGUGGUUAAAUUUAUUUGUUUGUUUAUUUAUUUAUUUAUGAUAAAAAAAUGUGUUUUGUGAUAGUAUUUUUUGCGAUGUGGUUAAAAAGUAGGCAACAGCUGGUGUUGGUCACACAGUAUUACAGUCUUCUUUAAUUUUGUUUAUUUUAUUUUUAUGAAACCUAGUCCUUUUAAUUCUAUUUUUGAUAAAACACAGAGGAGAAGAAGGCCGAGCCAUUCUGGAGAAAUGCUUGUUAAUAAAUGAGAAGUAUAAAGGAAAAGAACAUCCCAGCUCAGUACCACUUCUUGUAAAUCUUGCAACUUCCUAUUCACGCUACAAGAAUUUUGUAGAAGCUGAGCGCUUGCUGAGCAUAAGUUUGCAAAUUAUGAUGAAGACUGUGCCCCCCGAUGAUCAGUCCCUCACAUUCCCGAUGUUACAUCUUGCCAUCACUCUGUACAAUCUAAAUCGAGAUGAAGAAGCUGAAAAACUUGCUCUCGAUGUUCUGCACAUUCGUGAGAAGGCAUUUGGAAGAGAAUCUCUACCAACUGGUAAUUUUCUUGUUGUGCAGUUGCUUGCUGUAUGCUGGAUUACAUAUCAUGUUUGCUAAGCUUAAAUGUUACUUUUCUAGAAAGUGACCUACUUUCUAGAAAAGUUUUGUUAGCAUAAAAAUCAACUUGUAAAUUAUGUUUGGCAAGAAAGAAGCUUAAAAAGUAACUCUUACUUCUUUUUAAGCUUAGCCAAACACGCUCAUACCUCCUAUAUGCGACAUUGAGAGAUGAUUUUAUCAUGUGAAUUCUUUUGAAAGUUUGACAUUUUGAUCCAUCAGAAAUUUGACUAGAGGUUGGUACAUUCAACGCACUUUCAGCAGUUGCCUUGAGAUCUAAUUCUGUUAACUCAGAGUCAUUAUAUAGUGGCUUAGUUUCUUAUUUAAACUAUGCUUCUGUGCAUUCCUUGUCCAUAUUGUUUUCACGCUUUUGUUUCGUGAAUUUGUGAAACAGGAGAGGCUCUUGACUGUUUGGUCUCUAUUCAGUCACGAUCAGGGAAGGACGACAGUGAGUUGUUGGAGCUGCUCAAGAGGGUUCUGAGAAUUCAGGAGAAAGCUUUUGGCCACGAGGGUGAGGAGGUCAUGGAAACCCUCAAGAAAAUUGUACAUUACAUGGACAAAAUGGGUAUGAAUAACGAGAAACGUCCAUUGCAAAGAAGAUUAUCCAUUUUGAGAAACAAACACAAGAAAAUGGUUAGGUAUUGACAACAGUGGCUUAUUGAGUUGGAUAUUUCUUGUUUUCUUGCAAUGGAGCGAAUCCUAGAUCCUUGGCUGUUUUGAUGUCACGAACAAUGAUGAAAAGUUUUAUGGCAAGAGUAAGCAGCCAGUAUUCAGCAUUUUUGAUAAUGAACAUUGAGGUACUUGGCAACUCAAAUCAUGCAUCUUUUGAUAGUUUAUAGCAUGCUUAAUUUUCUUGAUAUUCUUCAUGUUCUUAGUUAAUCGAUAAAAUCUUGCCUGUUUUACCUUGUCCUUAAAAGGAGAUGCCUUAUUGACUUUUGGGAAUUAUUCGUGAUUUUAGUCAAAGAAACGUUUUCACAUUCAUUUUAAGAAAAUUACAUUAGAAAAACAAUUUGAAGAAAAUUCUACCAUCUUGGUUGUAGGCUUGUAACGACCUUGCCAUAACCUUUGUUCAGACCGUGGACAUAAUAAAUGCUUAUAUACAUACAUAAAUAUAUAUAUAUAUAUACGGUCUAGAUCAUUUAGAUCACCAUAUCCGCAUCCAAACACACCCCAAUAAAGGUAUUAAUAGAUCUACACCAGUGGAUUAGCUUAAAGGGUUGUGAUUAUUUGUCAAAUUCAUUGGUAUAUAUAUGUGCGUGUGCGCGCGUGACUCACUUCUCUUCUUAUUUUGACCGGUUCUUAAGGAGUAUCGAAGCACUAGUCACUAGAUGUGCAUUUCACUCAUUUCUUCUUUGCUUUAUCAAUAUUUUGUGACAGGAAUGGAACUCAUAAAAGUUGCUUGUUCAAUAUCAAUGAUGAGAAUAAACAGCUUGAAGUAUAACUGAACAGCUUGCGAAAUGUGCGUCUCCACUUCAGGUAUAUGUAACAAUUGAUCAAGGCGAUCUCCAUCAGCAAGCAAAUAUUUAGCUGGACCUGAAAAUUCCAGUUUUGUCCACAUACUUGUCGAAUUAACUCCUGGUAUCCUCUGCCCCAUAAGCAUCAAAUGCUACUGCCCAUGUCAAAGGAAUCAUCUUUGAUGAUGUGAACUUCAGUGCUAUCUAUCUUUGACAGCCCAGGAGGUAUUCCCAAGUAAUUCGCUUUUAGGGACGAAUGUGUAGUUGUUUAUUAAGCGUUUUGAUGUUAUCUUUGACAUGAUGUCUGUUUUCGUGAAGCGUUUUGAUGUUAUCAACUUGCAAUAUAAGUAUGUUGGGGAUUGUUUAUUUUGAAGUAUUUUGAAUAUAAUGUGCAAUUAAUUUUAACUCCUUUCUUUGUACUUGUAAGGGUAGAAAGUAAGUAUUUUGAAUACUUGGCUUAAACAGUUGAAGAGUGUUUACAACCAGUUUUCCUUAUUCGUCAUCUUUUGUUUCAUGCAAUUGUUGUGAAAUACUCGCUUCAUUUUCUAUCUUAUUUUGGGUUAUACACAGAUACACUUGAAUGUUCAAAGAUAAUUGGACUAUAUUGAAGGGCUUGAGAGCCAGCUAUGUCUAGUUAUCCUCGAUAUUUUUUCGAGGGGUGGGG
rnacentral:lncRNA from 1 species